GUGUUGGUCCUGUGCGACAGAGCUCUGUGAAUCAUGUCAGGCGGGGAACCGAGCAGCAUUAAGCGGUCAGCCUGUGCGAUACAGUCAAGCCUGCACGGU
rnacentral:SRP_RNA from 1 species